rnacentral:rRNA from 1 species
UGCCAGCAGCCGCGGUAAUACGGAGGGGGCAAGCGUUGUUCGGAGUCACUGGGCGUAAAGCGCACGUAGGCGGAUAUGCAAGUCAGGAGUUAAAGGCGUCGGCUCAACCGGCGUACGGCUUUUGAAACUGCAUGUCUAGAGUAUUAGAGAGGAAUGCGGAAUUUCCGGUGUAGCGGUGAAAUGCGUAGAUAUCGGAAGGAACACCAGUUGCGAAGGCGGCAUUCUGGCUAAUAACUGACGCUGAGGUGCGAGAGCAUGGGUAGCAAACAGGAUUAGAAACCCCAGUAGUCC